UUUAGAAUCUCUGGCCAGAGUAUGAAUGAGAUUUAGGAAUGCGUUCCAAAUCACAUUCAAAGUAAUCAUAUAUGCACAUGAUUCACAUUGGAUAGUAGACAUGAAUAAACUAUCAAACCAAACAAUGUGGUCAAAGAGUAUUGUAUUAAAGAAGGACCGUAUUGCAUUUGUAAUCCUAAACUGAAUAGGUUCUUAACCUCUUCUGAUUAGCUUGGGUAACCAUGACAUACGGCUAGGUGUGUCACUCAUGGUUUGUGGAAGCCCUAAAAGUGUAUUAAUCACUAAAGGGAGAAUUGAAAGUAAGUUUCAAUUCAUAAUCGAUUUGAAAGAGUUUUGAAUCGCCCACUGCCUCGCUAAAAGGAACCUAAUGGAUCGUACACCGUAUAAGGUGGAGAUGGAUGAAACAAACUAAAUGAGUAAGAAUAAUUGAAUAGUUUAAUUAUUUAUGGCAAGGAUUAAUUAAUAUGUUAAUUAAUCAAACGAAUAAGUUCGUUAAAGACCUCGGGAUAGGUUUUGGACCUUAAGGCCCAAUGGGCUUCGAACGUCAAGCCCAUUGACUUAAGUUGUAUGACAACUUAAUGAAUAAUGAUUCACUAAGACCCAAAAGCCCAAACAACCCCCCAUGGCCGGCCAUAUAGAGAAAGGGUAGUGAACUUGCUUUAAUUACAAGUUUGCCACUCAAAUGAAUAAAGGUAUAAAAUAUGACUUUAUAGCCUUUUAUUCAUUAAGGGUUUUUGUUUUGGGGAAAAUUGGUGAGAAUUGUCUCUCCAUUUCUCUCUAGAAAGGCCGGCCACCAUGGAAGUUAUAGCUAGCCAUCUAUUCUUCCAUGGUCACUCAUUUAUCAUCCAUGCUCUCCUUGGUGUAGAUCCAUCCAAAUCCAUGGAUCUAAGAUGCAAGGAAUGAAAGCCCUAUCUCUUGGGUGAUUAGCCUUUGUUUAAAUGCAAAGAGGAAUCUACAAAGGUAUAUAAUAUUUCAACUCACUUUGUUUUGAGUUGAGUUUAUUGGUUCACCAAUCUACUAGGCUUUGAAUUUCAUUGGUUAAUGUUUUGUUUUUAAGUGCAUGCUAGCAUGAUUCCGCCUUUAAUUGUUAAUUGCAUGCUUAUAGAUGUUGCUUAAAUGAACAUGUUUCACAAAAUAAUCCUUCAAGUGGUAUCAGAGCCUAGGUCUAGUAGUUGGUGAAUCCUUUUGUGUUUUGUAGUUCAUAGUUUUGUGAUUUAAAAGUUGUAAUAUGUUACAAGCUUUAUUCUUGUUUCUUUGAAUGUAAAUUUUGUUAGAAAAUUUGCCAUCUCAAAUGUUGUAGAUGUAGUUCAUAUGAGCAUGAAUAUUUGGAGCUAAAAUUUUGGUGCCAUGACUUUGGGGAUUUUCGGCCAAAUCCAAAGGGUGGUUUUUUGGGUUCUUGUUUGACUUGUUAAAAGUGUUUUCAAGUGACUUUUGGAACCCCUAUGUACCCUAGUUUGGUUAGAUGUUAUUUCCCUAAAGUUUGAAUGGUUUUGGAAUGUUUUUGGGUGGAAAAAGUUCAUGGAAAAAUUUUGGGUUUUUCAUGAAUGUUCUUCAUUGUUCUUGACAUUUUUGCCAAGAACAAAAAGGUUUGUGUUUUGAUUCAAAGUUUUGAUUUAUUUCAUAAAGUCUUUGUUUUGUGCUUUAUCAAAUGUUUUAAUGUGAUAGAAAUUGUGUAAGGUGAUGGAAAUGGUGAUAGGUGUGUAAGAAGUACUUCUCUUACACACAAACCACUUGCAUGAAUUUAAGUCACAAACCACUUGCAUGAAUUUAUGUCACAAACCACUUGCAAAGCUUUAUGAAUUUGUUGAAAAAUUUUCAAAAUUUUUGUGGACUAACACUCCAAAACCGGCCACCCUAUUAUUAGGGUUCUUUUGGGUCUUUUAUGCAAUUACAUAAAGUUUUGAUACUUUUGUGUAUUUGCACUUUGGCCCAAAAGUUUACGUUUUUACGUUUAGGUCCAAAAGCGCUAAAGGACAAAUUGUUUUGCUCCUUUAAUGAAGUUUUUGCAUUGAUUAAAUUUUGGGUUCUAGUUGUAAUUACAUGAAGUAGUGGACUUUUGUGUCUUUACAAAGUGACCCCAAAAGUUUUGCAAUAUAGCCCAAAAGUUGAGGUUAAUUGCUUUAUGGCCCAAAAAGUUGUGGUUAUUGCAUAUUGGCCCAAAUUAGGUAGAGAACAAAAUUGUUUUGUCUCUUUAAAUGAGAAUUGGAUUUUCAUUUUGUUUAGCUCCAUUUAAAUCAAUUUUAUGGAUACAAAAACCAAAUGAAAAUGUUGCAUUCAAUUUAAUUAGUUAAAGUGUUAAUUAAUUAAAGGGUGAUUAUGAACCUAAGCCUAAUAUAAUUGAGCUAUGUGAAAGGCCGUUUCAAAUUUGUUUGAACCAUGGGAAUGUGUAGAUUAGAUUUUGGUUGUAAUUUGAUUUGAUCAAAUGUUGUAAAAGGGCAUAAGCUCUUCUUUACUUUAAAGUAAUUUGUUUUAUGCAAAUGUUGUAAUGAGCAUAAGCUCACCUUUACUUUGAAGUACUUCUUUCUUGCUUUAUAUUGAUAUGCAUGAAAAUGAAGUAGUUGGGUCCAACGCCCCUAAGACAACACGCCUUAAUGUGAUUAAACGCGUAACUAAAAUCAAUCACCAUCCCUAGACCGAGAUUCAACACAAGGCUCGUGUUGAAUCUAAACAAAGGUUCAUAAUCAUCCUAAGGCCCUAAGGCAACUAUAUAGUCCAUCAAAUGAAUGCAAAGGUUAUGUUAGUAGUAUCAUAUACUCUUGCUUUAAAAACCGUUUUAUAAGCAUAGUGGGAGUAUUAUAUACAACUAAAAACAAUCAUAUGGACCAAUAGUUGUAAUAGGACCAAAAUUGUUUUAAUAGAGAUUAAAAUGUAUGUUUAUAUAUGUGAUGAGACCUAAAACCCUCAACCAAACCAUUAUUAAGUUGAUAAGCGUGAGAGUGCUUUGAACACUCUUUCGUAGGCCUUCCACCGUGGUGGCUCCAAUCGUUUAUGACUUGUACACCGGCUUCACCCUAUCAUGGGGGAGUACAAAGUGCAUGCUUAUACUCAGGAGGAAUCCAUAAACAUAUGAUGAGGUUAGUGUAGGCAACGAGGAUAGGCCGACAUCGUAUCAUCGUGAGGCUAUUCUUUGAACCCCUUCACGAACUAAGCAUGGUGGGAAUGACUUAACUAAGUGCAAUGGAGCCAACAUCAUAUCAUUGUGAGGUGACAUUCUCUAGAGGCCAAAUAAGAUGGGUACUUGCAUUAGUUGCAAAUGAGUAAGCGUACUCUCUCAUUAUUAUUAAUGCUAGCCAACAUCAUAUCAUUGUGAGGUGGGCUUGGUAAUAGUGAGCCUCCCAUACCCUACUAAGAGUUUCAUCCAAAACUCUCGAAUUCCAAUGAGGGAUAUGGAAUUUGCCAAAAAAUAGUGGGUGGUGCUAUUUUUGAUUUAAAGACCCGAAUCAAAUGGCUUAAAAUCAAUCAAUUUAUAUUCGUUAUGUAUUUGUUUACCAAUAUAUUUGCAAACGCUAUCCAAAACUUGACAAAUAAAAACCGAAUGUUUUUAGUUUCCGGACUUGGUACCACAAUCCCAAAGAAUUGUCUUAAAUGGAUUGUAUAUGUACCUAAGUAGUCUCAUCCUCACAAUCUUCCUAAUGAUAAUGUAUCAUUGGAAGAACAUGUUAGAAAAGUCUAUCAUGAAGAGAACAACACAAACAACCAAUGCUUAUUCCUUCGUUAUAUGAACAAAGGAACUUACGAAGAUUAGCAUAAAGAAAAAGGACACUUUUAGUGUUAUUAGUUCUUCACUUACAAAUCGUUGUAUGAAGAAAUAAUGAGUUGUUUUGAACAACCCUUAGUCAAUGCAAACACUUAGUGCUUGUUUCUUUGUUAAAUGAACAAAGAACUUAAGAAGAAAGCACAAAGGCAUGGACACUUAAUGUGCCAUGAUUCUUCACUUACAAAUUGUUGUAUGAAGAAAUGAGAGUUGCCUUGAACAACUCUUGAAAGUUUGUAAUUAUGUUUAGAACAUAAUGGUUGGUUGACAAAAAUAGUCCAUUAACAUGGACUUAUGAUGAUUUUGAAUCAUUGAGUGUUGAAGUGAUAAACCACUUAACGAGACGGAAACUAGGCAAGGACUUCACCUUUGUGUCCCUAUCCUUAUGGUUCACUAAGUUUAUUGUAAACUAUAUAGUGAACAAUAACCACACGCUCUCCAAAUUGUUUGAUGUGUAUAACACAAUUGAAAUAAGUUUCAAGAGAGAGAUAGUGGGAGUUUAGGGACCAUUGACUAUUGUAGUCAAAGGAGAAGUCAAAUGAAGAAAGCGAAAUAACUCCAAGGGAACAAACUUUCUUUAUGAAAGGAUGGACAUUGGAAGGGGUAUUUGCAAGAAAUGUCUUGCAAGUGUCAAGAACACACCUUUCGAAGGUGUUGUAAAUUGUUCUUGAAUAGUUCAAAACAGUUGGUUCUUCUACUUGAAUGCUUGAUUCCGUAUUAGUAACUAUGUUUUACAAUCGUUGUAAAAGUGUGGCUAAUAAGAAGUAGAAGAUUAAUGAGAGAAGAGAAAGUACUUCACAUUCGGAAAGUGAAUAAAAUAUAGAUCUCUGCGAAAGCAGAUGGUACUUACUUCCUCAUAUGAACUACCAAAGAAAUUGGAAAAACCAAAGAUUGUCUUUACAUUCCAAUUUUAAGGAAUUUAAUUCCGUCACUAUAGUAGAGAUGGAUGAAUGUUUUGUUUGACAAAACAUUGUUCUUUAUUAAUCAAUGAUUGGAUUAUAGUAAUCUAAUUGAUUGUCUCUAUAGUAGAGAUGAUAUGGUAGUGUUAACUGUUUAGAAUAUAACGAUGCUUAAAACCCAAAAGGUUGCAAGGUAGUGACUAAUCCCAACUAAAGUUGUGAUACCUCUAAAAACAUAAAUUACGAGUUGGUCAUAGAUGGAUGCUUUGGAUCGUUAGAUCCGGAUCCAAUACCUUCUUGUUAAAAUUGUAUAGAGGCGAAAUGUUUGAAUCUUUAUUCUUUUGGAAAGAAGAAAGAAUCACAAAGUUGUUGAGGUUAAUUCACUUAGAUGUUAGUGGCACUUGUCCACAACAUAAUACUACUCAUGUUGUAUGACAUUCACCGAAGAUCACUCUCGGUUGGACUAUAGUUUUAUUUUGAAUAAACACAAGUCCGAAUACUUUGCAAAAGGUUUCAAAGAAUUCAAGAAAUGUAAGUUGAUGAGUAAGACGUCUAAAGUAUUUACCUCCUUAGAUUUGAUCCAAGGAAAGGUAACACUUUAGAAUAGUUUUCCUUGAAAGAUAUCAAGGAAAGAAGCAUCAUAAGAUAAUGGAUUUCUCCAUUAGGAGAAGAACGAACUUGAAUAAGAUUUAGUUCGUUAGGAUGUUAUCUAUUACCCAUAUAUAGGAUAUAUACUUCUAAAACAAUAUGAUUGUCAAUUAGAAGAUCUUCCAAAUUUUUCAUGACUCCAUAAGAUGUAGUUGGAAAGAAAGACAAAUCUUAAGCAUGUUAAGAUUUGGGGUUGUGUGCUAAUAAGCAAUAUUUGUUUGAUAACAAUCUUGUGGGAUAUCCUUAAAUUAACUUUUGGAUAUCGCUUCUAUAAACCAACUAACAAAUGUUGUUUUGUUGGGUAGUUCAUUGUAAUCCUACAAUGUGAUUUGCCUAAAAGCAAAUGAACGAGAGAUAGAACUCAAAGAAUGGGUUCUUUGAGAGACAAGAAAAUAAUCAACAAAUAUAACAACCUAGUUCCUAUACCAAAAGCUCCAAGGUAGUCGAGAAGGAUUUAUAAACCGUCUCAGUUGAAUGGUUUGAACUUUAUGACUAUGUCAUAGAGUUACACCUCUUAAUUCGAAAGAAAUAAGAAUGAAAAUCCUUAUGACUACAUUGAGUGUAUAUAUAUGAUAUAUACUCAAGGAAAUGGUAAAGUACCAUUUGACCCGAAAUAAUGAAACCUUCAUAAGCUAAUUGGUAGCUUAAGGUGACUACAAUCAAAGAGAAUGGUUGACUUUGAAGGAAACCAUUUUUUGACGUAGUCUUAGUUUCAAUUAAUUCGAAGAUUGCUAGCUACAACUAAAUGGUGAUUCAAUGUUUGGACAUUAUAUGGGUUUCCGAAACCAUUAUUAAGAUAGUCUUAAUAAUAUAUAUGUCUAAAACUAUGAAUCACAAGACAUGUAAGUUGUAGAGAUCCAUCCAUCAUGGAUCUUAGCAAGCUAGUGGGAGCUAUAAGCGUCUUAUGAGAGAAAGGUCAAAUCGUUUGAUUUCUCAUAAAGAUGUAAAUGAAUCUUUUGUUUACUAGGUUUACAAAAGAUUAGUGGGAGUUAAUCAUAUUCCUAAAUUUGUAUAUAUAUAUAUAAAUAUAUAUGUGAUAUAUAUGAAUGUAUAUAUGAUAUAUUAAUUUUUGGAAAUGAAAAGAAUAUUUCUUCGUUAAAGUUAUGACUUUAAACAUUCUAUAACGAUAGAAUGUAUAUGGGAGACAUAGUCUAUAUACAUGGGAUGGAAAUCUAUAUUGAUAGAUUUCAAGAUAUAAUUUGAUUAUAUCAAUCCCUAAUAAUAGACAAAAGAUGCUAGGAAGUUUCUCAUAUAUGAUGAUAAACUUCAAUUAGAAGGAUGAACUCUAGUGAGACUAGCAAGUUGCCCUUCUCAAAGGGAACGUACCCUUUGACUCCCAAAGAAAUAAUGCGUAAAUAGAAUCCUUUAUGCAUACGCAUAAAAGGUGAUUUAUGUAUUUCAUAUUGUAUGAAAAACAUUGAUAUGAGUUGUACCUAGAACGGUACAAGACGAUAUCAGUGCAAGCCCAGGAUCAGAACCAUGGCAACUGUCAAGUGAGUCCUUAAGUAUUUAAGAAAUACUAAAGGAUAAAUUCCUCAAAGAAUCGAGGAAGAAUUAGAGUAACGUAAUGGAAGCGUAAAUGUAUUAGAUUAUGAAUCUAAUCCAUCAUUGGAUGUUUCUUCAUUAUGAAUGAAGAGAUAAACAGAUAUCUCUUUAUUAUGACUAAAGAGAUAUUUGGAUGGAAACAUUAAAGUAAUGACUUUAGUGUGUUCCAUUAUGAAUGCAAAAUAUAUAUUGCCAUAUAGAAGUUUACAACAAUGUUGUUUGGAUGGGAAAGUUCAUUUAUGAACUCUCUAUUCGGUUCCAACCAGAAAGUGUAUCUAGUGUACUGACACUAUGACACUAAUGGGGCGAUAGCUCAAGCCAGGGAAUCAAGGUCUCAUCAAGAUCCGAACUCAAAUGAGAGACUGAACCACAUGAUUGAGAAUCAUGUAUAAUGGUGACGUCGUUAUUCUCAAGGUUGCUUCUAUGGAUAACAUAUAGAUAUCCAUUGUCUAGGCCUACUAUUCAGCCAUUUAUGAAAUGACUACAGAAGAGGUAUCAUCACUGAUGACCAAGCUGAUUGGCUCUAGUGCAAGUGGGAGAUUGUUGGAAAUGUGCCCUAAAACCAAUCAUAUGAUGAUACUUUACGGACAUUUCACAUGUUAAACUAAUCUAGUUUAACUAUAAAGGGCAAAGAUUAUUGUUUGAGCCGUCUCAUAUAAAUGUUAUAUGCUUAAACGAUAAAGUCCAAGGAAUAUGUGAUUGGAAGAAUGUAAUCUAAUGAAGUUAGAUUCAUGAGACCAUUCUUUCGUAGACACAUCCUAAAUGUUCCUGAUCAUAGGAUUGCCAAUUGGGCAUUGACAGUCCGUCAAGAUCGGUACGUGCUAUGUCUUCUCUCAGGGAGAGUGACUAGUCUCGAGUCAUUGGUGUGUGUGACAUCAAGACAAGUACGUAGGUGCUCAGUAGAGAAUGAGUUCACUGAACGCGAUCAACGAAGAGUUCUCAUACUCAUGUCACAUGAGAACUCAUGUUUGGGAUAAUGCAAAUUAGUCCUUUGACCUGAGGCAUCACAGUUGUCUUGUGGUUAAGUCCUUGAUCUUUGAUUAUGUCAAAGUCACCCCAUCGGGGUGUCCACGGCAUCGUUGGGGUUAAGCCACUUAGUCCAUGGAGGCAAGUGAAUGCGCAACAAGGGAUCUCUAACCUUCAAACCGUUUGAGGGAGAAUACUCUAUGAUAUGAUUUAGAAUCUCUGGCCAGAGUAUGAAUGAGAUUUAGGAAUGCGUUCCAAAUCACAUUCAAAGGUAAUCAUAUAAGCACACGAAUCACAUUGGAUAGUAGACAUGAAUAAACUAUCAAACCAAACAAUGUGGUCAAGAGUAUUGUAUUAGAGAAGGACCGUAUUGCAUUUGUAAUCCUAAACUGAAUAGGUUCUUAACCUCUUCUGAUUAGCUUGGGUAA
rnacentral:lncRNA from 1 species